UUGGGUGCUACCUCAAAGGGGAUGGGUUGGAAUGUUGUAGUCAUUCCCUGACUACAGCAUCAUGUUCUAAUCAUCACACCCUAA